GAUGAACGCUGGCGGCGUGCUUAACACAUGCAAGUCGAACGGAAAGGCCCAAGCUUGCUUGGGUACUCGAGUGGCGAACGGGUGAGUAACACGUGGGUGAUCUGCCCUGCACUUCGGGAUAAGCCUGGGAAACUGGGUCUAAUACCGGAUAGGACGAUGGUUUGGAUGCCAUUGUGGAAAGUUUUUUCGGUGUGGGAUGAGCUCGCGGCCUAUCAGCUUGUUGGUGGGGUAAUGGCCUACCAAGGCGUCGACGGGUAGCCGGCCUGAGAGGGUGUACGGCCCCAUUGGGACUGAGAUCCGGCCCGGACCCCUACGGGGGGAGGAAGGGGGGAUUUUUGCCAAAGGGGCGCAAGCCGGAUGCAGGGACGCCGGGGGGGGGAGGACGGCCUUGGGGUUGAAACUCCCUUCGCUAGGGACGAAGCGUUUUUGUGACGGUACCUGGAGAAGAAGCACCGGCUAACUACGUG
rnacentral:rRNA from 1 species